ACGAAGGUGGCAAGCGUUACUCGGAAUUACUAGGCGUAAAGGGCAGGUAGGUGGUUUGGUAAGUCUGUUGUGUAAGCUCCCGGCUUAACUGGGAGAGGUCAACGGAAACUACCAGACUUGAGUAUAGGAGAGGUUACUGGAAUUCCCGGUGUAGCGGGGAAAUGCGCAGAGAUCGGGAGGAACACCAAUGGCGAAAGCAGGUAACUGGACGAGGACUGACACUCAGCGGCGAAAGCUAGGGGAGCAAACAGGA
rnacentral:rRNA from 1 species